rnacentral:lncRNA from 1 species
CGCAAUUCCUUGAGCAAGAGUGGUGGCAAUUUUCAUUCUCAUGGCCCAGUCCAAACUCCUACCCCCUUUAGGAACAUGGUGUAGCCAUCUAUCCAGAGGUCCAUUCACAAUAAACUCAUAGACAAUGUACCGAUCUCCAUGAUCAUAGCAACAUCCUUUGAUAGCCACCAGAUUUGGGUGAUGAAGUCUGGCAACCCUUCCAAUUUCAGAGUAGAACUCCUUCUUUCUCUGGAAGCUAGACCUUUUCAACCUUUUAACAGCCACCCUUGAUCCAUCUGGUAAAAGUCCACUAUAUGUACCCCCUGUUUUUGCAUCACCAAGAAGACGAUUUCCUUCACUGAAAUUCUUGGUAAUUGAUUUCAAUUCAUCACGUGUAAACACUUUCCAUGAUGGGGGAACUAAUGCCACUUCAGCAGGAUUUGACAGUCUGCGAGAUUUUCUCCAUUUCUUACUCCGUCGAAAUAUGAGAAGCCAUACAACAACAGCCAAAGUAGUGCAGAGAAUCAACCCACUCACCACAGCAAGGAUAAUAAGAUAUUCUGAGUGACAGUGGAAAUGGUGACAUUUGUCCUCUGAAAUUACAAAUGGAUAAAAAAUUUAGUGAUGGAUCUUCAGUUGCAAUAUAGUUGCUAAGAUGUCAAAACAAAAAGAACAAAGUAGCAAGGAAAGCAAGUUACAGUGACACAACUGUAGAUGAGGAUGAGACACAACUUUUUAUAGUUUUCUAAAGCUAUUACAAACCUGCUUCCAGCAUGCAUAUGAAGGCAUGAGUGGUAUUGCAACUUUGAGCCAUAAGGUACACUGUUCCGUUGGUUACCAAUGCACAUGAAUCCACCAAAUUAUGACUAGAAUUCAACGGAAUCCUAGGAGCAACAGUUUCAUUCCAGUAAGAAGCAUUGUCUGACCACUUCCAAGCUCCAAGACUGGUAUUAAAAACUCUUCCACCAACCCAACAUCCAGUGUUGUCCUGACUACACAACUUCUGAACAAAUGAUAGUUCCUG